GGCUAGUACUGACGGGCGUCAGGUACGAUAGGACCGGUUGGACUUGUACGUCUUCGCUCACGAGGAGCUUCGACGCAGUCGGUUGUUCGGGUAAUUGCAGCCCAAAGUAAGGUGGUAAAUCCAUCUACGGCUAAAUACUGACGGGAGACGGAUAGCGAUCAAGUACGUGAGGGAACGAUGAAAAGGACUUGAAAAGAGGAGUCAAAAAGUGCUUGAAAUUGGUUGAGAGGGAAGCGAUUGAAAGCUAUGGGGUGCGCCUAGGCACACGCCUGCCUUAACGGUUGGCUGAAUGCGCUGGGUGCUGGUCAGCAUGGGUUGGCUGGGCGGGACAAACCCAGGGGUUGUUACCCUGGCUAUGCCUCCUGGCCGACUGAGGUGUGAAUGGCGCUCUUUGAGUCCUUCGGGAACUGCGUCAUCAAGAUGCUGGCGGAAGGCCUUCAAUCGGCCCGUCUUGAAACACGGACCAAGGAGUCUAACAUGUAUGCGAGCUGGUGGGUGGCAAACCCAUGAAGCGCAAGGAAACUAACUUGGUGAGAUGGCCUGUGCCUGCAUCACCGACCGACCAUGAUCUUCUGUGAAAGGUUCGAGUACGAGCAUACCUGUUGGGACCCGAAAGAUGGUGAACUAUGCCUGAGCAGGGCGAAGCCAGAGGAAACUCUGGUGGAGGCUCGUAGAUGUGCUGACGUGCAAAUCGCUUUUCGGACUUGGGUAUAGGGGCGAAAGACUAAUCGAACCAUCUAGUAGCUGGUUCCCUCCGAAGUUUCCCCCAGGAUAGCUGGAGCUUAUAUCAGUUGAAUCGGGUAAAGCGAAUGAUUAGAGGUACCGGGGAUGAAACAUCCUCGACCUAUUCUCAAACUUUAAAUAGGUUCGAAGUCUGGGUUGCUUAAUUGAACCCAGGCACUCAAUGAGAGCUCCAAGUGGGCCAUUUUUGGUAAGCAGAACUGGCGAUGCGGGAUGAACCGAUAGCUGAGUUAAGGCGCCCAACUGCGCGCUAACCUAGAUCCCACAAAGGGUGUUGAUUGAUAUAGACAGCAGGACGGCGGUCAUGCACGCGCCGUCAUAGCCUGAAGGUUG
rnacentral:rRNA from 1 species